UCCGAGUUGACCCCGGCAGUCUCUUACGAGUCCCCACCAUAACGUGCUGGCAACAUAAGAUAGGGGUUGUGCUCGUUGCGGGACUUAACCCAACAUCUCACGACACGAGCUGACGACGGCCAUGCAGCACCUGUGUCCUAGUUCUCUUUCGAGCACUUCCACAUCUCUGCUGGAUUUCCGUGUAUGUCAAGCCCAGGUAAGGUUCUUCGCGUCGCAUCGAAUUAAUCCGCAUGCUCCGCCGCUUGUGCGGGCCCCCGUCAAUUCCUUUGAGUUUUAGCCUUGCGGCCGUACUCCCCAGGCGGGGCGCUUAAUGCGUUAGCUGCGGCACGGAUUCCGUGGAAGGAAACCCACACCUAGCGCCCAACGUUUACGGCAUGGACUAC
rnacentral:misc_RNA from 1 species